UACAGAGGGGGCAAGCGUUGUUCGGAAUUACUGGGCGUAAAGGGCGCGUAGGCGGCCUUCUAAGUCGAACGUGAAAUCCCCGGGCUCAACCCGGGAACUGCGUCCGAUACUGGAAGGCUUGAAUCCGGGAGAGGGAUGCGGAAUUCCAGGUGUAGCGGUGAAAUGCGUAGAUAUGUGGAGGAAUACCGAUGGCGAAGGCAGCCCCCUGGGAUAACACUGACGCUCAUGCACGAAAGCGUGGGGAGCAAACAGG
rnacentral:rRNA from 1 species